UUCGGUAUCGAUAUGGUGUUCUUGGGGGAGCCCGAGACCACCAGGUUGUCUAAGGAGGGGUGUACCGGCCCAGGUCGGAAACGAAGCAGGUCAAAUCCCCCGUACUGUCCAGUAGUGGGAUAGUGCCUGUGAGUAGAUGCUGCAGUGCAGCCUUGGCAAGACAUCGAAACCCAAUCUUUU
rnacentral:sRNA from 8 species